UACGUAGGGUGCGAGCGUUAAUCGGAAUUACUGGGCGUAAAGCGUGCGCAGGCGGUUCGUUAAGACAGAUGUGAAAUCCCCGGGCUUAACCUGGGAACUGCAUUUGUGACUGGCGAGCUAGAGUAUGGCAGAGGGGGGUAGAAUUCCACGUGUAGCAGUGAAAUGCGUAGAGAUGUGGAGGAAUACCGAUGGCGAAGGCAG
rnacentral:rRNA from 1 species